rnacentral:rRNA from 1 species
UACGUAGGGACCAAGCGUUGUUCGGAUUUACUGGGCGUAAAGGGCGCGUAGGCGGCUUGACAAGUCACUUGUGAAAUCUCCGGGCUUAACUCGGAACGGCCAAGUGAAACUGUCAUGCUAGAGUGCAGAAGGGGCAAUCGGAAUUCUUGGUGUAGCGGUGAAAUGCGUAGAUAUCAGGAGGAACACCGGUGGCGAAGGCGGGUCUCUGGGCCGAUACUGACGCUGAGGAGCGAAAGCGUGGGGAGCGAACAGG